ACGGAAGGCAGCAGUCGGGAAUAUUGCGCAAUGGAGGAAACUCUGACGCAGUGACGCCGCGUAUGGGAAGAAGGUUUUCGGAUUGUAAACCAUUGUCGUUAGGGAAGAAGAAGUGACAGUACCUAAGGAGGAAGCUCCGGCUAACUAUGUGCCAGCAGCCGCGGUAAUACAUAGGGAGCGAGCGUUAUCCGGAUUUAUUGGGUGUAAAGGGUGCGUAGACGGGAAUUUAAGUUGGUUGUGAAAUCCCUCGGCUCAACUGAGGAACUGCAACCAAAACUGGAUUUCUUGAGUGCUGGAGAGGAAAGUGGAAUUCCUAGUGUAGCGGUGAAAUGCGUAGAUAUUAGGAGGAACACCAGUGGCGAAGGCGACUUUCUGGACAGCAACUGACGUUGAGGCACGAAAGUGUGGGGAGCAAACAGGAUUAGAUACCCUGGUA
rnacentral:rRNA from 1 species